AGUUUUAUAGUUUAAAAAAAACAUUAAUUUUGUAAAUUAAAAAUAUAUUUACCUAUUAAAACUU
rnacentral:tRNA from 1 species